UACGAAGGGGGCUAGCGUUGUUCGGAAUCACUGGGCGUAAAGCGCACGCAGGCGGAUUGAUAAGUCAGGGGUGAAAUCCCGGGGCUCAACCUCGGAAUUGCCUUUGAUACUGUCUGUCUUGAGUUCAGGAGAGGUUGGCGGAAUUCCUAGUGUAGAGGUGAAAUUCGUAGAUAUUAGGAAGAACACCAGUGGCGAAGGCGGCCAACUGGCCCGAUACUGACGCUCAUGUGCGAAAGCGUGGGGAGCAAACAGG
rnacentral:rRNA from 1 species